UCGUAACAAGGUUUCCGUAGGUGAACCUGCGGAAGGAUCAUUAUAGAAAAUGACGUGAACUCUUAACGGAGUUCUCUCAAAGUGUUGGAGGGGAAGGCCUGCGCUUAAUUGCGCGGCUGUUUUUAAUCUCCUCCGCCUUUGAUACACACAUUGGAGUUUCUACUUUUUUGUUCUCUUUGGGAGGGUUCUGCUCUCCCAGAGGUAAACACAAACAAUCUUUUAUUAUACUAUUAACACAGUCAAAUGAAUUUUAAAAACAAAAUAUUCAAAACUUUCAACAACGGAUCUCUUGGUUCUCGCAUCGAUGAAGAACGCAGCGAACUGCGAUACGUAAUGUGAAUUGCAGAAUUCCGUGAAUCAUCGAAUCUUUGAACGCACAUUGCGCCCCUUGGUAUUCCGGGGGGCAUGCCUGUUUGAGCGUCAUUUCCCUCUCAAACUUUACGUUUGGUAGUGAGCGAUACUCUACUCUGGAGUUUGCUUGAAAAUGGGAGGCCAUAGGCGAAGCAUUGCUUUCCAAUCCUGCGGCCCUCUGCUUACUUCCCCUUGUGGGUUGUGGCAGGGGAAAGCGGGAGGCGCCUUGCCACGAUAGUCGUAUUAGGUUUUACCGACUCGGCGAAAGUGAAGAGGUUUGCUUUUUAAAAAGAAGCAGGCAGCGUCUGGCUUGACAAAAUUCUCAAAGUUUGACCUCAAAUCAGGUAGGAUUACCCGCUGAACUUA
rnacentral:misc_RNA from 1 species